GUGCUGCAUGGAGGAAUGCUCUCCUGCUGUUCAUUAACAGGCGGGUCGGCGGUCCGCUCCUCCGCUGCCGGGCGCCUCGCAACAUUAACAUUCUGGAUUUACAUUUUUUUUCUCAAAGCUCGAGGUCACACAGUGCAGAUGCUCGAUGAGCCUCAACUGUGAACAAAAACCCCCUAAAAAACCCGUUGUGUGGGAGAGGCGGAGGGCGACGCUGGAACGUUUGUUGUGUAAAGAAUGAUGAGAUGACGACGCUCAGUCAACGUCUAAAACACGAGAAACUUUCAACCAGGGAUUCACGCUCGCCUGGUCACUUUAGUUGACAUGACGCCAUCUUGGAUUCACGCUCGCCUGGUCACUUUAGUUGACAUGACGCCAUCUUGGAUUCACGCUGCAGCGACGCGAGCCGACGGCGUUUGAACUCUGGAACGCACAAACGAUGAGGUCAUCGCCUUCAAGGGGGAACUAAGGAAAACAAGACUUUCAAAGUUUUAAGGCCGUUGUCGUUGCUCCUGCAGCGCCUCCUCCUGCAGCGCCUCCUCCUGCAGCGCCUCCUCCUGCAGCUCCUCCUCCUGCAGCGCCUCCUCCUGCAGCUCCUCCUCCUGCAGCUCCUCCUCCUGCAGCUCCUCCUCCUGCAGCGCCACACUCCUCCUCCUGCAGCGCCUCCUCCUCCUGCAGCGCCUCCUCCUCUCAACACAAACUAACUCCUUUGUGUUUGAUUGUUUAAAUCUCUCGAUGACAGACGCGCGGCCCACAAAGUGGAGAACCGACCGACGCUGACGGAGUUCAUCCUCAACGUCGGAACGUCGUUUGAUAUUUUCUUGUCAUUCAUUGAGCAGAAAUUACAAACGUUGAAUCUUCUCUUCACUGAGAUAUUCAGAUUUAAUCAUGGAUGUCUUUAUAUUUAAUUUCAGUAUCACGAUCUCGGUUAACUCAGAACGCGAGGAGGUGAACUUCGGCUCACGUGACACGUCGAAGCAUUAAGAAAGAUCCUUAAUUAACACUUUAGAGUCCCUGAAAUCUCUUUUUUUUUUAAAGUUUAAGAACUUCAAACAGGAGCUCUUCAACGUUCACCUUUAAAUCAUUUUGGUGAAUCGUAUCGGCAAAUGAAAGCUUUAAUGUAGCUACAACAGAGCUACAAUAGAGCUACAAUAGAGCUACAAUAGAGCUAUAAUAGAGCUAUAAUAGACCUACAAUAGAGCUAUAAUAGAGCUACAAUAGAGCUAUAAUAGAGCUAUAAUAGACCUACAAUAGAGCUACAAUAGAGCUAUAAUAGACCUACAAUAGAGCUACAAUAGAGCUAUAAUAGACCUACAAUAGAGCUUUAAUGUAGCUACAACAGAGCUACAAUAGAGCUAAAAUAGAGCUAUAAUAGAGCUACAAUAGAGCUAUAAUAGAGCUUCAAUGGAGCUACAAUAGAGCUUCAAUGGAGCUACAAUAGAGCUACAAUAGAGCUACAAUAGAGCUUCAAUGGAGCUACAAUAGAGCUACAAUAGAGCUACAAUAGAGCUUCAAUGGAGCUACAAUAGAGCUACAAUAGAGCUUCAAUGGAGCUACAAUAGAGCUACAAUAGAGCUACAAUAGAGCUACAAUAGAGCUACAAUAGAGCUACAAUAGAGCUACAAUAGAGCUUCAAUGGAGCUACAAUAGAGCUACAAUAGAUGAUGCAAUGCUUGUGUUUCUUCCACCUCACUAUCUUGACCUUUAAGUUAUUUAAAUGACAAUAAAUCACGUCAUAAACACGC